GUCCGGGUGGACCGGCUGGUCGCGGCCAGGGUCGGGCUGGGCGGGACGAUCCUGGACCGCAGGGAGGCGGUCCGGGCCCGCGCCGGGGCC
rnacentral:tRNA from 1 species